AGAGUUUGAUCCUGGCUCAGGAUAAACGCUGGCGGUGUACAUAAGACAUGCAAGUCGAACGGGAGAAGACUGGAAGAUUUAUCUACUGGUUGGACACCGUGGCGGACGGGUGAGUAACACGUAAGCAACCUGCCUAUAAGAGGGGAAUAACAGUGAGAAAUUACUGAUAAUACCGCAUAAGCUGGAGGUAUCGCAUGAUACAUUCAGAAAAGAUUUAUCGCUUAUAGAUGGGCUUGCGUCUGAUUAGCUAGUUGGUGAGAUAAUAGCUCACCAAGGCGACGAUCAGUAGCCGGAUUGAGAGGUUGAACGGCCACAUUGGGACUGAGACACGGCCCAGACUCCUACGGGAGGCAGCAGUCGGGAAUAUUGCACAAUGGAGGAAACUCUGAUGCAGUGACACCGCGUAUAGGAAGAAGGUCUUAGGAUUGUAAGCUAUUGUCGUGUGAGAAGAAAAUGACCAUCACAGGAGGAAGCCCUGGCUAAAUAUGUGCCAGCAGCCGCGGUAAUACAUAUGGGGCGAGCGUUAUCCGGAUUUAUUGGGUGUAAAGGGUGCGUAGGCGGGAAAAUAAGUCAGUAUGUGAAAUCCCUCGGCUCAACUGAGGAACUGCAACUGAAACUAUUUUUCUUGAGUGUUGAAGGGGAAAGUGGAAUUCCUAGUGUAGCGGUGAAAUGCGUAGAGAUUAGGAGGAACACCAGUGGCGAAGGCGACUUUCUGGGCAACAACUGACGCUGAGGCACGAAAGUGUGGGGAGCAAACAGGAUUAGAUACCCUGGUAGUCCACACCGUAAACGAUGGAUACUAGGAGUUGGCAAAAAUAUUGUCGGUUCCGCAGUUAACGCAUUAAGUAUCCCACCUGGGGAGUACGACCGCAAGGUUAAAACUCAAAGGAAUUGACGGGGGCCCGCACAAGCAGUGGAGUAUGUGGUUUAAUUCGAAGCAACGCGAAGAACCUUACCAGGGCUUGACAUAUACAGGAAUAUAUAAGAGAUUAUAUAGCUCUACGGAGUCUGUAUACAGGUGGUGCAUGGUUGUCGUCAGCUCGUGUCGUGAGAUGUUGGGUUAAGUC
rnacentral:rRNA from 1 species